rnacentral:rRNA from 1 species
GAUGAACGCCAGCGGCAGGCUUAAUACAUGCAAGUCGAGGGGCAGCACAGGUAGCAAUACUGGGUGGCGACCGGCAAACGGGUGCGGAACACGUACGCAACCUUCCUUUAAGUGGGGGAUAGCCCAGGGAAACUUGGAUUAAUACCCCUUAACAUUAUGAGAUGGCAUCAUUUUAUAAUUAAAGCUCCGGCGCUUAAAGAUGGGCGUGCGCCUGAUUAGGUAGUUGGCGGGGUAACAGCCCACCAAGCCUACGAUCAGUAACUGGUGUGAGAUGACGACCAGUCACACGUGCACUGAGACACGGGCCCGACUCCUACGGGAGGCAGCAGUAAGGAAUAUUGGUCAAUGGACGCAAGUCUGAACCAGCCAUGCCGCGUGGAGGAUGACGGCCCUCUGGGUUGUAAACUCCUUUUAUCUGGGAAGAAAUGCAGAUUUUCUAAUUUGUUUGACGGUACCAGAGGAAUAAGCACCGGCUAACUCCGUGCCAGCAGCCGCGGUAA